GGGUGGAUUCCCGAGUGGCCAAAGGGGACAGACUGUAAAUCUGCUGCGUUUCGCUUCGGUGGUUCGAAUCCACCUCCGCCCA
rnacentral:tRNA from 1 species